GCUGGUCCUGUCCUGGCUUUCUGCAAACAUGUCUGAGGUCCAGCAGCUGAGGGACAUGUUGAAAUUGGAGCCAACACCUGCUGAUGAAGGAAUGAUCACAGACCAGGAAGAAGAAACGUGUCAUUUAAAAGAAGAGAACAAAAGAG